CAACUACUCCCUCUGUCCCAAAUUUCUUGUCGUAGAUUUGUCUAGAUACGGAUGUAUAUGUGACUUGAUGCAUCUGUAUCUAGACAAAUCUAAGACAAGAAUUUUGGGACGGAGGGAGUACUUU
rfam:Triticum aestivum genome assembly, contig: Triticum_aestivum_CS42_TGACv1_scaffold_593076_7BS